GAUGAACGCUGGCGGCGUGCCUAAUACAUGCAAGUCGAGCGAACAGACGAGGAGCUUGCUCCUCUGACGUGAGCGGCGGACGGGUGAGUAACACGUGGAUAACCUACCUAUAAGACUGGGAUAACCUCGGGAAACCGGAGCUAAUACCGGAGAAUAUAUUGAACCGCGGGGGUCAAUAGUGAAAGACGGCUUUGCGGUCACUUAUAGAUGGAUCCGCGCCGCAUUAGCUAGUUGGGACGGUAACGGCUUACCAAGGCAACGAUGCGUAGCCGAGCGGAGAGAGGGAUCGGCCACACGGGAAGUGAGACACGGUCCAGACUCCUGCGAGAGGCAGCAGUCGGGAAUCUUCCGCAAUGGGCGAGAACCUGGCGGAGCAAGGCGGCGUGUGUGACGAAGGUCUUCGGUUCGUAAAACUCUCUUAUUAGGGAAGAACAAAUGUGUCAUUAACUAUGCACGUCGUGACGGUACCUAAUCAGAAAGCAACGGCUAACUACGUG
rnacentral:rRNA from 1 species